rnacentral:rRNA from 1 species
UACGUAGGGUGCAAGCGUUGUCCGGAAUUAUUGGGCGUAAAGAGCUCGUAGGCGGUUCGUCGCGUCGGCUGUGAAAACCCGGAGCUCAACUCCGGGCCUGCAGUCGAUACGGGCGGACUCGAGUUCGGCAGGGGAGACUGGAACUCCUGGUGUAGCGGUGAAAUGCGCAGAUAUCAGGAGGAACACCGGUGGCGAAGGCGGGUCUCUGGGCCGAUACUGACGCUGAGGAGCGAAAGCGUGGGGAGCGAACAGG